rnacentral:lncRNA from 1 species
UUCUGGAGCCCGGCGAUACAUCCACAAGUGUUGUAGUCUAUGUACUGAACAGGGAAAGAAAUGUCAGACUUCUAAGUAACCGACAUUAGUGGGUACUUAUCCCAAACCCUCUAUUCCCACCGAAGCACACAAUAUUAAGCAGUUACCAAUGGAGCCUCUUACUCAUAAAAAGUUAAAGACUAAAAGACUAUCCACAAGAACAGCAGCGGCUAAGAAAAUUAAGCGAAGCACGCCAUAUGAUUCACGCAGCACAACGAAAAAAGCAAUAGAUGACCGAAAUCUUAUAGAAACUCCUAUUCUAUUGGCCAUUGAGGUAGGAGAAUGGGCGAUGGCGGCUGGCCCUCAACAGUUGCCUUUGCACAAAUGAAGCUUAUAAGCUAGAACUACCAGGGUUUAAGCUCCUCCCUGACAGUUCGAGCCCUUAAGACCCUUGUGGCCAAAGAAAAGCUUGACAUCUUAUUUUUGACGGAAACCAAGAAUCGAGAGGAGGUGAUCAUUCGACUGCAAAGACGUUUGAAAUUUCGAAACUCUAAUAUUCUAAACCUUGUUGGUAUGGUAGGAGGGUUGGUUUUACUUUGGCAUGAGCAUCUUACGGUUGACAUGAUUCAAUCUUCUCAAGAGUUGUUUGAUAUAACUUGUGUGGAUUCUCAGUGUCACAUAUCUAUGUGUCUAACGUGUGUCCAUGCACCUGCCGCUUAUCACCCUCGCCAAAUCUUCUGGACAGAACUUCAAUAGAUUGCCCGCACCAACACUUUACCCUGGGUCUGUAUUGGUGACUUCAAUGAGGUUAUGUUUGUUUGGGAGAAGGUCAGCAAGCGACCACCUGACGCUCACAGGAUGUCUUCCUUUAGACAAGUAGUACAAGAUUGUGCUUUAAUGGAUAUGGCUACUGAGGGCUGUGCUUAUACCUGGUCGAAUAAUCGGGAAGGAGCUGAUUUUGUAAAAGAAAGGCUAGACCGAGCUUUUUGCACGUAUAAAUGGUGUCUUGCUUUCCCUGAAGCCGAAGUUUUUGUGCUACCUAUAGUGGGUUCUAACCAUACUCCUAUUCUGUUAACUACUGAUGGCUUACAAGGACGUCGACGUAAGUACUUUACUUUUGAAGUUUUUUGGUUACAGGAUAAGGAAUGCAGCGAAAUUAUUCAUGAAUCCUAGAACUCAGGCCAUGGAAGAACUUACAAUCUGACACAACGACUAAAACUAGUAUCAAUGGCCCUUACCAACUGGAGUCGUCAGAAAUUUUACAUAGCCCACAACCAACUAGCAACUUUACAUCAGCAGCUCCAAAAUCACAUGAACCAGUCCCAUACACAAUAUGAUAAGCAGUCCAUCAGCAACAUAAAGGCGGAAAUAAACAUAUUAUGGCAGCAAAAGGAGCAAUUUUAGGCAAUGCGAUCUAGAAUCAGUUGGCUAAAGUGGGGGCAAGAACACAAAAAUUUUCCAUGCCACAGCGAUACAACGAAGACAGCGGAAUAGAAUCUGUAUGCUGAAGGAUGAUGAUCAAAGAUGGAUUCAGGAUGAUGACUCUCUAAAAUAUAUGACCACACAGUUCUUCACCAACCUUUACCAAUAUGUCGGCCACCGGGACUAUCAGCCCAUCAUUAAUCAAUGCCCGACAGUGGUUUCUAUAGAAAUGAAUAGUCUUUUGGUGGCUGAGGUUACCUAAGAAGAGGUCUGUAUCACAACUUUCCAGCUUGGGUCUACUAAAGCUCCAGGACCCAAUGGUAUGAAUGGCCUCUUUUAUCAAACACAUUGGGAUACUUUGCGGGCUGAUCUUUUUAUGUUACUACAACAAUUUUUUAGAACAGGGGUUAUGCCUACAGAUCUGAAUAAAACCUUUAUCACCCUGAUUUCGAAAGUUCCUCACCCAAAAAACCUAGACCAGUUCCGACCUAUUAGUCUUUGUAAUUAUGCCUACAAGAUUAUCUCUAAAGUGCUAGCAAAUCGACUAAAACCCUGGCUUCCAUCUUUAAUCUCUACUGAACAGAGUGCCUUUGUAAGUGGCCGCCAGAUCUAAGACAACAUACUUAUAGUGCAGGAAGUGCUUCAUUAACUGCGCACUAGAAAACGCAAGAAAAAUUUUCAAGCAGUUCUGAAAAUGGAUUUGAAAAAGACUUAUGACCAAGUGGAGUGGGAUUUUCUCGAAGCUUAUCUUCUGAAGUUAGGUUUUCAUCUCACUUGGGUCCGAUGGAUAAUGCAGUGUAUCACAACGGUAUUCUACAGUGUCAAAUUCAAUGGUGAGCAAUUAACCUAUUUUCAUCAGACCAGAGGAAUCAGACAAGGCGACCCACUUUCUCCAUAUCUAUUUAUCCUCAUGGCAAAUGUCUUAUCGAAUCUCAUAAACCAAGCUAUCCACAUGGGACAUCUCAAAGGCAUUCAGAUUAACAGGUGGUGUCCUACAUUAUUUCAUUUAUUAUUUGUUGAUGAUGCCAUAUUUUUCCUAGAUGCAAAACUUCAGGAAUGCCAAAAUCUUGCCAACUUAUUGAAUCGAUAUUGCUUAGCUAUGGGACAAGAAAUUAAUUGGAAUAAAUCCGGAAUUUAUUUUUCCAAGAUGUGUCCUUAUGCCUUACAGGAAAAUUUGGCGAAUGCUUUGAGAGUCCAGGUGUUAGUCAAAACUGAGAAAUACUUGGGAAUCCCCUCUAAUUGGGGACAUUCUAUGAAGGAAGUAUUUGCUUGGAUUAUUGGGAGAGUGAAUCAAAAACUGGAAGGAUGGAAAGAACACUUGAUAUCUAAGGGAGGCAAGGAAAUACUCAUUAAAUCCAUUGUUCAGGCAAUGCCUCAGUAUGCUAUGGCUAUAUUUAAACUUCUAGCUACUAUUUGUAUUUCCAUUGAAAAGAAGAUUGCCCGCUUCUGGUGGCAAAAUGAAGCUAAAAAAUCUAGGAUCCAUUGGAAAAGAUGGGAUGUGCUUAAAAUGAGCAAGAUUUAAGGUGGUCUCAGCUUCAGAGACCUCAUGGACUUCAAUAAUGCAAUGCUUGGAAAACAAGCAUGGCGUCUGCUUCAACAUCCUACAGCACUAUGGAGUAAAUUGUUUAAAGGUAUCUACUUUCAUUCCCAAGAUUUUUUGCACGCUGAUAAAGGUACCAAACCAUCUUGGGGCUGGCAAGGUCUUUUAUUAGGUCAGGAUUCAAUUCUUCCUCGACUUCGCUGGUCAGUAAGUGAUGGGACCAGAAUUAACAUUAAAGAAGACCGAUGGCUACCACAAGGAAUUCUAGGUGGCCCAGCAAACUGUGAAGAACCUGUUAAGGUAGCCGAACUCAUAGAUAUGCAAGCCAGUGCCUAGAAUAUCCCGCUACUUAACCACUUUUAUGACAACAAUACAGUUAGGGAGAUCCUUACCAUCCAGAUCAGUCCUUCUUAUACAGAGGAUAAACUGAUAUGGACGGCAACCACCCACGGCAAUUAUACCAUUAAGAGUGGUUACCAAUCAAUCAGGCAGACAACAAUUACCAAACAUCAGUUAGAAGCUUUGCCUACCUACCAAAUUUCACGAACUUUAUGGAAACAACUAUGGAAGUUAAACAUUUCUCCCAAAAUCAAGUUCUUUUUGUGGAGUCUUUGCCACAAUGUCUUACCUACAAAAGCAAAUCUAUUUCACAGGAAAAUCACCCCUAACCCAUAUUGCUCUCUCUGUCACAAUAGCAUUCCUGAAUCAGCGGAACAUACAUUCCUACUUUGUCCUUGGACUAAUACCAUAUGGUCAAAUCCGGUGAUAAACAUACCUAUUUAGUCACAGGCUAUACGAGAAUAGAUGCAUGGAUAGCUACUAUGUUUAUGAGAAAGCAAUCCAUACCUGAUCUGAACACCCUGGCAUACAUCCUCUGGCAUAUUUGGAAAUCAAGGAAUAAUUUCAUCUUUCAUCACCGACGAUUGGAUGCUCAUCAAGUUGUUGAUAGUGCUUUCGCCAAUGCUCAAUCAGCUCUCUGCUCUUAUCACUACCCUACAGCCACAAAACAACAGCAAUUCAACACUGGUGAGUUAUGGCGUCCUCCAGAUCCAGGCACUUUCAAGGUAAAUAUUGAUGGGGCUUUUCAGCCACACAUAAGCCAAGGAUCAAUGGCCAGUAUAUUCCGAGAUCAGAAUGGAAAAAAUGCUCGAUGGACUUACCAAGAACUUUCUCGCUUCUUUGGCUCUACAGUCGUAGUUCAUGGUGUUUUUGAUAACUCUUCGCCAUUUGCAAUAGAUCGGCAGACACCAUGAUUCAUUGGUCAUUGAAUCGAAUAGCUUGAUACUGGUUGAUUCCGUUAAUACUGAUUCCCAACCGCCAUGGGAGGUUCGAGCAAUCUUCCACAAAGCCAUCCAUCUCCUCCAUAACUUUUCAUGUGUUAGGGUUCACCACUGUCGAAGGGAGGCGAAUGCAGUAGCGGACUGGGCCGCCAAAAGCCACAGAAAUGAUGCCCUAACGGAGAUUUGGCCCAUUUUGCCCUCUUCGAUUUUGUUAGACCUUUUAAUUUCCGAUGCUUUGGCAGCUGGAUGUAAUCCUAUGGUUUACUGAAUGAAAUUUCCUUUUCUAACCCCAAAAAAAAAAAAAAAAAAACACUAAUGCAAUAAAG